rnacentral:rRNA from 1 species
UACGAAGGGGGCUAGCGUUGCUCGGAAUCACUGGGCGUAAAGGGUGCGUAGGCGGGUUUUUAAGUCAGAGGUGAAAUCCUGGAGCUCAACUCCAGAACUGCCUUUGAUACUGAGAAUCUUGAGUACGGGAGAGGUGAGUGGAACUGCGAGUGUAGAGGUGAAAUUCGUAGAUAUUCGCAAGAACACCAGUGGCGAAGGCGGCUCACUGGCCCGAUACUGACGCUGAGGCACGAAAGCGUGGGGAGCAAACAGG